rnacentral:rRNA from 1 species
GAUGAACGCUGGCGGCGUGCUUAACACAUGCAAGUCGAACGAGGCACCUUGAUUUGAUUCUUCGGAUGAAGAUCCUGGUGACUGAGUGGCGGACGGUGAGUAACGCGUGGGUAACCUGCCUCAUACAGGGGGAUAACAGUUAGAAAUGACUGCUAAUACCGCAUAAGACCACAGCACCGCAUGGUGCAGGGGUAAAAACUCCGGUGGUAUGAGAUGGACCCGCGUCUGAUUAGGUAGUUGGUGGGGUAACGGCCUACCAAGCCGACGAUCAGUAGCCGACCUGAGAGGGUGACCGGCCACAUUGGGACCGAGACACGGCCCAAACUCCUACGGGAGGCAGCAGUGGGGAAUAUUGCACAAUGGGGGAAACCCUGAUGCAGCGACGCCGCGUGAGCGAUGAAGUAUUUCGGUAUGUAAAGCUCUAUCAGCAGGGAAGAAAAUGACGGUACCUGACUAAGAAGCACCGGCUAAAUACGUGCCAGCCGCCGCUGUAA